rnacentral:rRNA from 1 species
AACAAACGCUGGCGGCGUGCCUAAUACAUGCAAGUCGAACGAGGAAAGUAGCAAUAUGAGUACUACUGGCGCACGGGUGAGUAACGCGUGGGUAAUCUUCCUCGAAGCGUGGGAUAACCAGUCGAAAGAUUGGCUAAUACCACAUAAGACCACAGGAUCUGCGGAUCUAGGGGUCAAAGGUUUUUCGCUUUGAGAUGAGCCCGCGUAGGAUUAGCUAGUUGGUGAGGUAACGGCUCACCAAGGCAACGAUCUUUAACUGGUCUUAGAGGAUGAUCAGUCACACUGGAACUGAGACACGGUCCAGACUCCUACGGGAGGCAGCAGUAGGGAAUAUUGCACAAUGGAGAAACUCUGAUGCAGCGACGCCGCGUGAGUGAUGAAGGACUUCGGUUCGUAAAGC